UUGCAGUAGCGGCUCGGUGCCGUUUGGCACCGGGUUAUUAAAAUAGUCCGAUAUAGGCCGGGAUACGAUCUUUCGCGACGCACGCUGGCGGUUUCUUAGAUCCGGAAAUUUGUCUCUAUUAAUGCCUCGAGAAAGGCACAUCCUUGCUUAUUUACGACACAUGAUUGACAGUUGUAACGUUCGCAGGAUAUCAUGCACUCCUAAAUAAAAUAGAUCGAUUAAUUGUAAUCGAGAGCUGGAAAUUUGGGUUAUCAAGAUAGACAAAGAGAAAGAGAUAGAGGAAGGGAUCGACGAAGAUAUAGAGAGAGAGAUGGAAAAGUGCCAUUGAGCGGGCCGAAAGCGAGAAUAUUAAUGCGAUUAUAAAUAAACUCGGAGGAAAAAUCCGGCGAAGCGCGCCUCUGGACGUCGCCGGCCACGAAACCGCGAUAGGAAGCCGCACGGUUAACUUCGGCUCUCGCGUUCCCCGUUUAUACACGAGGCCCCGUUUAUACAUAAACCGCUUCUAUUUUCCCCUCUUUCACGCGUCAUUUCCUCCUUUUCCUCCCUUUCUCCCUGGAUAUCCCGAUAGAAUGACUUCGGACGCAACCACGCGCCGUAAAACGCGGACAGUCCUGAUGGAUCGCCUGUCCCCGAGGAAGUGAUUGGACACGUUCGAAAAUUGGAAGAUGUACGGAAAAACGAGACGGGGUGUGGGAUCGUCUGAUUACGAGAUUACGGUAAUAUGAUGGCAUUCGGUAAGAGAUUUAUCAACGUCGCGGCGAUACGUAACAGAAUGUCUUCGACGAGAGAGAUAUGUAUAA